AGAGUUUGAUCAUGGCUCAGAUUGAACGCUGGCGGCGUGCCUAACACAUGCAAGUCGAGCGGUAACAGGUGUAGCAAUACACGCUGACGAGCGGCGGACGGGUGAGUAACGCUUGGGAAUCUGCCUAUCAGUGGGGGGACAACCCGGGGAAACUCGGGCUAAUACCGCAUACGAUCCAUGGAUGAAAGCCGGGGACCGCAAGGCCUGGCGCUGAUAGAUGAGCCCAAGUCGGAUUAGCUAGUUGGUAGGGUAACGGCCUACCAAGGCGACGAUCCGUAACUGGUCUGAGAGGACGACCAGUCACACCGGAACUGAGACACGGUCCGGACUCCUACGGGAGGCAGCAGUGGGGAAUAUUGGACAAUGGGGGCAACCCUGAUCCAGCGACGCCGCGUGGGUGAAGAAGGCCUGCGGGUUGUAAAGCCCUUUCGGUGGGGAAGAAAAGUCUCGGCCUAAUACGCUGGGACCUUGACGUAACCCACUAAAGAAGCACCGGCUAACUCUGUGCCAGCAGCCGCGGUAAUACAGAGGGUGCGAGCGUUAAUCGGAAUUACUGGGCGUAAAGCGCGCGUAGGCGGCUUUUCAAGUCGAUUGUGAAAUCCCCGGGCUCAACCUGGGAACUGCAGUCGAGACUGUCUAGCUAGAGUAUGGGAGAGGGAAGUGGAAUUUCGGUGUAGCGGUGAAAUGCGUAGAUAUCUGAAGGAACAUCAGUGGCGAAAGCGACUUCCUGGACCAAUACUGACGCUCAUGUGCGAAAGCGUGGGGAGCAAACAGGAUUAGAUACCCUAGUAGUCC
rnacentral:rRNA from 1 species